GACGGCCGUACCAUGCUGAAUAUACCGGUUCUCGUUAGAUCACCGAAGUCAAGCAUCAUUGGGCGCGGUCAGUACUUGGGUGGGUGACCACCUGGGAACACCGCGUGUCGU